rnacentral:rRNA from 1 species
AGCGAACGCUGGCGGCAGGCCUAACACAUGCAAGUCGAACGAACUCUUCGGAGUUAGUGGCGGACGGGUGAGUAACACGUGGGAACGUGCCUUUUGGUUCGGAAUAACUCAGGGAAACUUGUGCUAAUACCGAAUGUGCCCUUCGGGGGAAAGAUUUAUCGCCAUUAGAGCGGCCCGCGUCUGAUUAGCUAGUUGGUGAGGUAACGGCUCACCAAGGCGACGAUCAGUAGCUGGCCUGAGAGGAUGACCAGCCACACUGGGACUGAGACACGGCCCAGACUCCUACGGGAGGGAGCAGUGGGGAAUCUUGCGCAAUGGGCGAAAGCCUGACGCAGCCAUGCCGCGUGAAUGAUGAAGGUCUUAGGAUUGUAAAAUUCUUUCACCGGGGACGAUAAUGACGGUACCCGGAGAAGAAGCCCCGGCUAACUUCGUG